rnacentral:rRNA from 1 species
CCUACGGGAGUCAGCAGUGAGGAAUAUUGGUCAAUGGUCGGGAGACUGAACCAGCCAAGCCGCGUGAGGGAGGAAGGUACAGAGUAUCGUAAACCUCUUUUGUCAGGGAACAAAGGCGGGGACGUGUCCCCGGAUGAGUGUACCUGACGAAAAAGCAUCGGCUAACUCCGUGCCAGCAGCCGCGGUAAUACGGAGGAUGCGAGCGUUAUCCGGAUUUAUGGGGUUUAAAGGGUGCGCAGGCGGUCUGUUAAGUCAGCGGUCAAAGCCCGGGGCUCAACCCCGGCCCGCCGUUGAAACUGGCAGUCUCGAGUUGGAGAGAAGUAUGCGGAAUGCGCGGUGUAGCGGUGAAAUGCAUAGAUAUCGCGCAGAACUCCGAUUGCGAAGGCAGCAUGCCGGCUCCACACUGACGCUGAGGCACGAAAGCGUGGGUAUCGAACAGGAUUAGAUACCCGGGUAGUC